UACGUAGGUGGCAAGCGUUGUCCGGCAUUAUUGGGCGUAAAGCGCGCGCAGGUGGUUUAAUAAGUCUGAUGUAAAAGCCCACGGCUCAACCGUGGAAGGGCAUUGGAAACUGUUAAGCUUGAGUGCAGGAGAGAAAAGUGGAAUUCCUAGUGUAGCGGUGAAAUGCGUAGAGAUUAGGAGGAACACCAGUGGCGAAGGCGGCUUUUUGGCCUGCAACUGACACGGAGGCGCGAGAGCGUGGGGAGCAAACAGG
rnacentral:rRNA from 1 species